UACGUAGGGUACGAGCGUUGUCCGUAAUUAUUGGGCGUAAAGAGCUCGUAGGCGGUCUGUCACGUCCGCUGUGAAAAGCUAGGGCUUAACCCUGGCCUUGCAGUGGAUACGGACAGACUAGAGGUAGGUAGGGGAGAAUGGAAUUCCCGGUGUAGCGGUGAAAUGCGCAGAUAUCGGGAGGAACACCGGUGGCGAAGGCGGUUCUCUGGGCCUUACCUGACGCUGAGGAGCGAAAGCGUGGGGAGCGAGCGGG
rnacentral:rRNA from 1 species